UAACAGAUUCAAAUUUUUGUGUCUGCUUCGGGAUAUGGCAUACGGUUUCAUUAUCGGUAUAAACUGUCAAGGUGAUGUAACACUAAGGGAUAGUAUCGACGUAUAUGAGGAGCUAGUAGAGAGAUUAUGCAAAUAUGUCAAUAGUUUGGGGCAGCACAUGGCCCCAAACGUAAGAUGGGUGGUGAAGUAAGAAUGCUCCUUCUCACAAGUAUCGCCCAAUGCCACCGGCUGGAAGCACUGGGAGCAGAGGCGGCUCUCUAAUUAGGCGUUUUAGGUGGCCGCCUCAGGCCUACACUGUCUGGGGCCUCCUAAAUCAUCUAAGGGCAUACUGAACUGUCACCACCUUAAAGGAGAUUUCUGUAUUUCAUGAAAACAUGGUAAUAGCCCUUUCUAUUCUUUUCAUUUUACUUUAGCUCCCUGUGUACUGGGUUCACUCUCACAGGACUGUUAUAUACGCGGCCGGGUAUCCCUGCCUGCAGUUAGCAGACAAAAUGAUUUGUAAUUUAAACAAACAACCUCCUGUACUGUCCUCAGUGUCCUGUGCACUCUCUGAAAGUCAGUGAGGGACCAGAGACAGAAGCAGACUUAUGCACAAGAAGGAAAUGUCAAUGUUUUAAAGGGAUAGCUAUUUCUGUUUUCCUAUAGGCAGGGAUCAAUGUGGU